UAGCGCACUCUGCUGAGAAGAGGAUCACUCCAGCACAGUCCUUUGCAUUAAAGUGGCCCUGGUCGCAGGCUUUGGCCACGUUGUAGACGUACUGCCGACAGGCCAUCAGCCGGGUGUACAUAUCAGCCAUUUUGCCCUGCAUGAGCUGGAAAUGGCCAAUUCUCUGUCCAAAUGCUUCUCUUACAUGUAAAUAUGGAAUUGCAUGGUCAAGAACAGCUUGCAUGAGCCCCAGCGGCCCACCAGACAGCACGAGCCUCUCCAGGUCCAACCCGCUCAUCAGAA
rnacentral:lncRNA from 1 species